CAGGUAUUUUCUUAUUUUCAUUAUUCCCUUCUCAUUGAUACUUAGAUUAUUUGGAUUGGACCAUAUCUUUGCAAUGCUUUGGUGGCCUUGUUAGCUUCAUGCUUCCAUGUGUUCCUUACUUUGGCUAUUAAAAAAAGAAGAUGAUGUAUUAUGUAUAUAACUCAUCAUUAAUUAUCAGUGCGACAUAUAUGUUAGGUUCGGUGGAUAAUUGUUUGUGGCGGAAUACAAGAGGUAAUGUAGGAUGUGUACAGUUUCUAGAUAGCGAAUGUGUGGACUUUUUUUUUGUUUUCAGAUCUCUUUGCAAUAGAUUGAAUCUGCUCUUUCUUUUUCUUUCUUUUUUAACUUGUAGGAUUUACUAAUUUGUUCUUCUCUGCUUACCUUUAAUCUCCUUUCUCCAGGCACAUGUCCUCUCAAGGAUAUGUACCUUCCGAAGGAGUAUUAUACUGGGUGAGCAUGCUCAGUAGUUAGGACAUUUAAAUGCUUCAGUUAGAUCGUGUCUCUAUCUUAUCGUUUUCUCUUUUUGGCUUCGUUGUGAAUCCUGUUUUGUCUUCUAUUAGAUUAUUUCUUCAUAGCCCAUUCCUACAUCUGCAGCUCAUGAAAUUCUUUCAUUUAUAACAAGUUUCUAAAAAUGUCUUGAUGCUGUAAAUUCUCAAAUGGUUAUUUCUGCACUUGAAAAUCCAGCGUUCGUAUAGUACACCUAAAACUUCAUACUCCUCUAGUCAUUUUUAGUGAUAGUGAUAUGUUCCAUGUUCGAUCACAUUCAAAGAGUGUUUAUUGAAGUUGUUGAGGUUUAACAGUGAAUAUAGAGAACUGAAGAGGCCAAUGAAGUAAUUAGAGUUCUAUUUAAUUCUGUUUUCUUAUCACAGGUCUGUCUCACCUCAGGAUAGACGAUAUGAGAAGGAGAGGUCAUACUCUCGCUCACCACCAAAAAAUUGCUCAAGUGGGAGUCAUGGG
rnacentral:lncRNA from 1 species